CUGCAAGNCNGCGAGGUGGAGCUAAUCUCAUAAAACCGUUCUCAGUUCGGAUUGUAGGCUGCAACUCGCCUACAUGAAGCUGGAAUCGCUAGUAAUCGCGGAUCAGCAUGCCGCGGUGAAUACGUUCCCGGGCCUUGUACACACCGCCCGUNNNNNCACGAGAGUUUGUAACACCCGAAGUCGGUGGGGUAACCUUUUUG
rnacentral:rRNA from 1 species